GCCAGGCAUGGUGGCGCAUGCCUGUAGUCCCAGCUACUUGGGAGGCUGAGACAGAAGAAUUGCUUGAACUCAAGAGGCAGAGGUUGCAGUGAGCUGAGAUCAGGCCACUGCACUCCAGCCUGGGCAACAGAGCAAGACUCCGUCUCAA
rnacentral:SRP_RNA from 2 species